UGUACAUAUCUGUGGAUAACAAAUUUGCUAAACUUUCUGCCAUUAUGUAACAAGGAUCUCCUUCCCUCUAGUUUCCAAGAAGAGUUUUCUAAUCUGUUAAGAUGUCACCUGCAGCCUCCUCAAAGGUUAUCUAUUAUGCUUCUAUAAAAAAUUUCUUCAAAGCUCUUCAAACUUUCAUUAACACUCUCCUCCAAGUUCUACCUUCUGUUCACUGCCAGUUUUAAAACCACACUUACAUUUUAGGUUUUUGCUAACACCCCACUUCUGAGUACCAAAAUGUAUACUGAUUUUCUAUUGCUGCAUAAUAAACUGCCCCAAAAUACAACAUGCAAAGCAAUAAAUAUUCAUUAUCUCAUGUAGUGUCUGAAGGUCAAAAAUCCGGAAGCAGCAUAGCUGAGUGGUUCUGAUUCAUUGUCUCUUGUGAAGUUAUCAGUCAAACCAUCAGCUGAGACUGUAAUCAUCUGAUGUUUUAACUAGUACCAGAGGAUACACUUUCACAUGCUAUUGGCAGGACACUUUAGUUCUUCACUAGCUGUUUAGCAGAAUACCGCACUUCCUCACCACAUGUACCUCUUCAUAGAGCUUCCUGGCUUCCUCUAAAACAAGUAAUCCAAGAGAGAAGCAGAAGCCACCAUGGUUUUUUAUGCCGUUGUUGACCUAGCCCCCAAAGUGACAUAUUAUUACACAGAUAUGUAGCCAACCUGUGGGUCACUGAUACGGUUUGGAUGUGUGUCCCCUCCAAAUCUCAUGUUGAAAUGUGAUUCUCAGUGUUGGAAGUGGGGCUGGUGAUAGGUGUUUGGUUCAUGAGGGUAGAUCCCUUAUGAAUGGCUUGGUGCUGUCUUUGUGGCAAUAAGUGAGUUCUCACUAUCUGAGUUCACACAAGAGCUGGUUGUUUAAAAGAGCCUGUCAUCUCUUUUGCUCCCUUUCUCACCAUGUGAUAUGCUGCUCCCCUUCUCUUCUGCCAUGAAGAAAAGCUUCCUGAGGCCUUCACCAGAAGCAGAUGCUGGUGCCGUGCUUCUACAGCCUGCAGAACUGAAGGACUUUACAGCUUCUCUUUCGCAUAUCCAAAUUGCCAGCAUCACCGCUCUUGCACUCCAAGCCAUUAUUAAGUAAAGUAAAGAACACAAACACUGUGAUACUGCUACACUUGAUCUGAUAACCAAGAAGUCUACUAAGUGACUAACAGUUAAUAUUUUUGGACAUGAGGUGACUGCAGUUAACUAAAACCAUGGAAAGCAAACCCAUAGAUAAAGGGAUACUAUGAGCAACUGGGAACCUAAUUCUGACCAAAAAGGAGGAAUUGUUUGGCUAAUUGGAAGUGACAGAAACCUUGGGAGAAAGCAACCGCAUACCAAGGAUAAUUAUAAGAAGAGAAGACAUGGAGAAGAGGAGGGAGUAGUUGUGACCGUGGAGGCAGAGAAUGGAGUAAUGUGAUCAUAAAUCAAGGAAUGCUGACAGCCACUAAAGCUGGAGAAGGCCAAGGACAGAUAUUCAAUCCUCCCGUAGAAGUACAGCCCUGCUAAUGCAUUGAUUUUGGACUUCUGGCCUC
ensembl:lncRNA TMEM161B-DT TMEM161B divergent transcript